rnacentral:rRNA from 1 species
AUACGGAGGGUCCAAGCGUUAUCCGGAAUCAUUGGGUUUAAAGGGUCCGUAGGCGGGCAGUUAAGUCAGAGGUGAAAUCCCACAGCUCAACUGUGGAACUGCCUUUGAUACUGGUUGUCUUGAAUUAUAGUGAAGUAGAUAGAAUAUGUAGUGUAGCGGUGAAAUGCAUAGAUAUUACAUAGAAUACCGAUUGCGAAGGCAGUCUACUAACUGUAUAUUGACGCUGAUGGACGAAAGCGUGGGGAGCGAACAGGAUUAGAUACCCUAGUAGUCC